GCAGAUUGGGCACAGCCCUGGACGUAUACUACAGGGCGUGGCCCAGAGCUGGCACGCCACAGGGAAGAGUCCCAGUUGGGCUUAUGGGGAAUGAAAUCAGUCCCAAGCCCCGAUCUCUCUGAAAAGUUGUUAUUAAAUUCUGUGCCUGGCCCUGACCUGGAUUUAAAGAUUUGCAAGAAGACAAAUUCCAAACAGAUGCCCAUUAGGGCCGUGACAGCCGCAGCUUAAAGAUAACAUUUACAUUCUGCCGGGGAGGGAGCUGGUUCCAGGAAAGAAGGGCACAUGAGCAAACAUGAUGGCCCCUUUAUGAGAGGUAAUUUACUGAAAUGCACAGCGAUUACCUGCUCACCCAGCCCUGAUGUAAUUAAAAAUGGCAGGCUAGGGGCUCUGUUUCCCCCGGCUCUGGCAGAGAAACCUGGGUUUCGACUUGUGAAGCUUGAGGUUGGAUGUGGGAAUUGGCUUGGAGUCAUAGGCGAUGAGAGGGACAUUAGGAUAUUAUGAAGCCCGUGAACUCAACUCCUGAGAAGGACGCAGCAGAGCGAGAGAAAAGGUGGAAUAAAAAGGCCUACCUCAUUGGGCUCGUGUGGGUGAGGAGAACUGAAGAGUCUGAGAGCGCGGCACGAGCCAGAGGCUACGGAAAACACUGCCCUCCUACACUCCACCUUGGAGAGACCCAGAAAAGAACAAGCUUCAUUUGUAAAAAAGGAAAACAACUCAGGCAAUGGGGGUGGCUUAAAGGCACUCUACAGUGUGCAGAUGCCUUCCACUUCUUCCAUCUGCCCUGUCUCUCCAAGAACCCCUAUGGCCCCGGUCUCAGAACAGAGCUGAGUGCAGAAAUGAAAAUCUAUGGCUCUGUGUUCCAAAACGAUGAAGAAUUUCAAGAUGGUGGCAGUGGUAAAAUCUUUCUCCAGGAAAAAUCUGUCCUUGGCCCAAUGUGUAAACACUUGCUGAGGAUUGUGAAACCAGCAACUUGUUCACAAUUCUUCUGAAUUUCUUGGGAAAUUUGAAGUGGAGUACCUGUACCAACAUGAAAUGACACGAAUUUAAGUGACGCUCAACAACGAAAAGCAAAAAGAACCAAAGAGGAAGCAACUGAAACAACAUCUGGAUGUAUUUAAAAAUAUACAAUGCCUCCAAAAUCAGGUGUCAUUAAUGAAAAUUCUGAAGAAAUGCCACCGGACAUAGCCAACGCACCUACGCUGUUGUUAUUCAUUUCCUGCUUUUCACAGAAAACAAUUUUGUUGCAUGGAAGAUCGGGAACUUCAAAGGGCAGAGGGGAAACUGUCCCUUGGCCUCUACCCCUCCAAGGCCCCACUUUUUUGUCAACACUCCUUGGACGCAGCAGAAGUAUGAACAUAAUAUGGUCCUGAAUGAGGCUGAGUCUUUGGGCGCAGAAGACCCGGGUUAAUAAAAAUAGGAAGGUAAGAAAAGAAAAGAAAAAUCAAGACACAUCAUAGGACUAAAUUCCUAUUAUUUAUCCACUCAGGAUUGACCACCCCUUUGGGCCAGAUAGUUGUACCCCCAUGUACCAGGUGGGCACAUGAAGACACAAGAAGUGCUGUGAUGGUUCAUUUUGCACGUCACCUUGCGUGGAGUAUGCCAACUCAUUGUUUGGUCAAACACUAGUCUGGACAUGGUGGUAAAGGUAUUUUUUAGAUGAGAUUAACACUUAAAUCAGUAAAGCAGGUUACCCACCAUACUACGGGUGGGCCCUGUCCAAUCAGUUGAAGGCAUUAAGAACAAAGAUUGAGGUUUCCUAAAGAAGAUGGAAUUCUCCUUGAGACUACAACAUAGAAACCCUAUCUGAGUUUCCAGCCUGUUGCCCUGUGGAAUUCAAACUCAGGACUCCGGUCUAUGACAUUAACCCUCACUUAACUUUUCAGCCUGCCAGCCUGCCCUAUGGAUUUCGGACUUGCCAGCCACACAAUUCCUUAAAAUAAAUCUCUCCGUCUCUGUCU
rnacentral:lncRNA from 1 species